GUUUUGCUAUAUAUGAUAAUGUUUAUUUUUUUUUAUAAUUUUAAAGACAACAAUUAACAUAAUAACCUGUGAAAUCAAUUCAGAGUCAAGAAUUUUAUACAACAUUAAUAUCUACUUCCAUGUUGCUAUUUUUGAACAUCAGCCAAUCAUACAAAGAAAACUGACCUUAUUGUUUCAUGUAUAAGAGAAGGGAGGCUCCACUGAGAUUGUACAUUUAUUUCUAAAGAUCGUAUAAAAAUUUAAUGAUUAUCAUUUUUAGUGACAAUCUGAUUGCUUAAGCUCCAUUAGUGUAUACGACUGUUGGGAAAUAAAUACAAUGGUCUAAGAUGCCAACUAAAAGUGUUAGUCUACUUGGUAGACAUAUAGUCUAUGUUUUAGUGUCAGCUUGUGUCCAUGAAAAAUAUACAGGCCCCUAUAAUCUGUAAUUCUAGAUUCCCCAAUUUCAGAGCAGUCCAUGUUUCCCAAAAAUCAAGUGUAACUAUAGUUGAAUAUGGCGUAAUACAUUACUCACGCUUAUAGGAUCUAACGAAGUACUGGUAUAGCCAGUUCAAUUAAUUAUAUUCAAAAUGUUCUAGAAAAUCUAGUUAAAAAAUAUGAUUAAAAAAGCUACCACCAGUUUCCAAACAAUAAAAAAAAAAUUCCUUAGUUAUAUAUUGGAAAUAAUGAUUAUUUUUGUUACAUAGAAAAAAACAAUUCUCACAAAGCUUAGAUAACUGCAAAAUGUCAAUGCCACCCAGAUAGACAUUGUUAGCAACUAAAACUAUUUGGUGUAUUCCAUUUUUUUAGAUAAAUAUUACAAUUAAUUUAAUCAUUCAGUUCACAUUUCAAGUGAAGUUUUAAAAAGAUUUCCUAAAUGGGAGAAGUCUAAGAGAAAAAGGUUACUUUCUGUUGACAACUGGACCACUAAAAGUUCAUGGUGCAAUGGGAAGCUACUACAUAUUAACAGGAAAAGAUAAUUUCCUCAAUUCCGUCAGUAAAUUUGUAUUGAAAUUUUGGGGGGGGGGGGGGGGGG